GCAGUCCUGAAGUUUGUUCUUGGCUUUGAAAACAAGGCUUCAGAAUGUCUUCAUUGUUUUACCUACACCGGUACUGGCAGCGCCUGGAGUUUCCUGAAGGAAACUGUAGCAGCAGGAAUUUUCUGUAACACUGUAAUAAGGGGGCUUUAUCCUUUCAAAAAUACAUCCUUUCUCCUUGUUGCCAGCUCUCCCACAGCCCUGUGAAAAAUGUAGCUGAGGAGUUACUGAGGCGUUUUUAUGUUCCUCCUGUCUCCCUGUAGUUCAUAGCAAGCAACAGAAGGCAAUUAUUCUGGAGUUAGCACUUAGGCUCGCUGGCUUGAAGGAAUGAAUGAAUGAACCAAAAUGGCACCUCUGUGCUCAUUUCCCUAUUGUGUGAGACGUGAAAUGUAAACAGUGACAUCUGCUCAAGAGGAACUGGUGAAUCUGAUCACCCCUGGGACCUCAAGUGGAUUCUUUACUGCUGAGCCACCCAGGAUGCCCUCUGUUAUGUACAUCCAACCACAAUUUUAUAAAAGGAAUUGUUGCUUGUCAGGUGCCUCGUCAUCUGGCUUCAUUAUCCUUAAAGGAAAGUGGACAUGGCCUACUCUUCACUCCAGCAAUCACAUGAAGGUGGGUUCUUUACCACUAGCACCACCUGGGAAGCCCACUGGAGGAGUAGCAACCAAGUUUAAGGCCUUGACUCGACUCCAGGGGCAGACUAGAUUGGACUAGAAGGAAUCUCAGUGGCCUCACCUGUGAUCCUCUUUGGACUGGUAUCAGUCAAGGAGAGGCCAGGAAGAUAACUGGUUGAGGCCAAACAAGGACAUGUGUGGGUGACGUGUGACCAGAGGGGAGGGUGUGGCCUGGGACAAAGCAGUGAGGGGAGGCCCUGCCAGGGAGCAGCCAUCUCUGCUCCAGCCAAGUGUUGCCAGGCAGUGGGGGUUGCGGGAUGCCAGUAUUUUUAAGAAAAGCCAGAAAAUCUGAUUGUUUUCCCCUGAAAUUCUCCAGAUUUUUUAAACUCUUCAAGUAAUUUUUUAAAAAAGUUAAACCCUGUCCAGCCCAAACAAAAUAGAAGUCAGGGCUGAAUCUGGCACAGCUCCCCAGUUGCUACACUUGCUUUGAAGUCUGGAGGUCAGUCUGUGAGUUCCAAAUGCCAAGGCCACCUGGCCUCUGUCCCUGCAUGUCUCCAUCCAGCCUCUUGACCCUCGAAAGGCAGGGAAAAAUACUUUUACAUGUGGACAGCUGAAGAUUCGAGCUGAAAACCAUCAGAAGGAAGAAAUGGACAUUUCUGCAACUCCCUCCUCCUCGUGCAGACAGUCUGUUUCCUUGGAGGAUGAAAGUCAACCUGCUUCAGCUGAAUUCAUUUCAACCAAAUUUCCUAAAUACUGCAAGCCAACCACUAAGCUAGGCCUUGGGUAUGUCUUUUUUUUUUGCAUGCCUACUGUGUGCUUGGCAUGGAGUUAGAAGUUUUAACUACUUCGUCUCACAACAACCUUAUGAGGUAGAAAGGACUGUUGCAGCCAAAAUCUUGGCUGUCUCUGCCCACCGAAGUUGAAUAAAAAAAUACAGAGACAGAAUUUGGAGGAAAAUAGAAAGGUGGUUUUAACCCUCAGCCGGUUGAAGGGGAGAACACAGUACUCUCAUGGGGCUUCCCAGCUGGCGCUAGUGAACUCAUCUGCCAAUGCAGGAAACGCGUGAGACACGGGUUCGAUCCUUGGGUCGGGAAGAUCCCCUGCAGGAGGGCAUGGUAACCCACUCUGGUAUUCUUGCCUCAAGAACUGUGACCCCGUCCCUCUUUCAUGAGGAAUCUGGUGAAUUAUAUAGAUGAUGGCUCACAGUCAGGGGUGGGUGAUGAGGAACAAAAGUCUAAGGAUCUUAUAUUCUUUUUCCUCUUCAGUUCAGUUCAGCUGCUCAGUUGUGUCUGACUCUUCGUGACCCCAUGGACUGUAGCAGGCAGGCUUCUCUGUCCAUCACUCCCAGAGCUUGCUCAAACUCAU